CAAAGCUUUAUGAAAAACAGUCCCUCAUUUUCCUUAUUUUGCUCUCCACUGGUGAAACUUUCUCAUGAACUAACACUGGAGUGUGUGCUAAACUGGUCCAGCCUCCUCAUCAAAUGCCCCAAGGGCUCCAGGUGGCCAUUUGGCCAAGGCUGACCAUCUUCAAUGGCUGGCCAUGGCAUUCUAUCCUUAAAUGCUUCAUCUUCGGAGCUUAAGCAAUAAACUGGUACAAUGGAAAAUGCAUGGAUUUUAGAGUCAGGACUGGGUUCAAAUACUGUCUCUCAUCCUCACAGGCUAUUGAGCAUUUGAAAAAUGGGUAGUGCAACUGAAGAACUGCUUUUUUAUUUAAAUUAAUUUAAAUUUAGAUGGCCACAUGUGGCCAAUUGGGCAGCGCAGGUCUAGACACUAUAUUUCCUAUUAAGGUAGUUUAUGGCCACAUCAGUGUUUUGGAGUAACUAUCUCAUUCUGCCAACUUGGCAGUGUUCUCUAAACCAACUGAAAUCUUCUAAGUCUUCCUCAUUUGUACGUAGGCAAUCAGAUCUUUGUUUCUAAAUGUAGCAAGUUACAUUCAUCUCUGUUAACCUUCAUCUUACAUUUAGUCUAUUGCUUCAGUUUUUAAGCAACAGAAACAAUCUUUAAUAGAAACUUAAUUUUUAUUUAUUUGAGACAGGGUCUUGCUCUGUCACCCACGCUGGAGUGCAGCAGUGUGAUCAUAACUCACUGCAGCCUUGACACCCUGGGCUCAAGUGAUCCUCCCACCUUAGCCUCCCAAGUAGCUGGGACUGCAGACAUGUGCCAUCAUGCCUGGCUAACUGUUGUAUAUUUUUUUUUUUAGGUAUGAGGCUGAUGCCAGGUAAGUUUUUAUUAUAUUUAGAAAAAAAAUGUAACUGGAAAUAAAGGUAAGUCA
rnacentral:lncRNA from 10 species